UUUCUUUUUGUUCUUCUUCCUUCGUUAGUAGUCUAGGGUUUCUGAUCGAUGUUGUGUUGUGCGAUAUUCUUUCUAAACCCGACGGGUCUCUGAUGUUUGUUUCCAACUCGAUCUUAACACCACUCGUUCCUACUAAUGAAAUCUUCUUCUUUUAGGGUUUGCCGUUUGGGUUUCCGUCAAUUGCAUCAGUUUAUUCAAUCUAUGUUGAUCCGAUCCGAUCCGAUCGUUCUAGGGUUUUUGUGGAGGAGGGUUCUACGGUUGAUCGGUGAUGGCUUCUAGGAUUAUGGUUGAUGCUUUUAUCGAUGAGGGUGGUGUCUCAAGGACACGCUUCACUUCUUCUCUGUGCUAACGUCUUCAAGGAUUCUGUUAUGGUUGAUCCUUUUAUCGAUGAGGGUGAUGUCUCAAUUCUUCUCUGUGCUAACGUUAUGGUUGAUGCGUUUAUCGAUGAGGGUGAUGUCUCAAGGAGACAAGGAUACGUUUCGCUACUUCUCUGUGCUAACGUCUUCAAU